rnacentral:rRNA from 1 species
UACGUAGGGUGCGAGCGUUGUCCGGAAUUAUUGGGCGUAAAGAGCUUGUAGGCGGUCUGUCGCGUCUGCCGUGAAAAUCCGGGGCUCAACCCCGGACUUGCAGUGGGUACGGGCAGACUAGAGUGUGGUAGGGGAGACUGGAAUUCCUGGUGUAGCGGUGAAAUGCGCAGAUAUCAGGAGGAACACCAAUGGCGAAGGCAGCACUCUGGGACGUGACUGACGCUGAGACGCGAAAGCGUGGGGAGCAAACAGG